AGUGAACGCUGGCGGUAGGCCUAACACAUGCAAGUCGAACGGCAGCACAGUAAGAGCUUGCUCUUACGGGUGGCGAGUGGCGGACGGGUGAGGAAUACAUCGGAAUCUACUUUUUCGUGGGGGAUAACGUAGGGAAACUUACGCUAAUACCGCAUACGACCUACGGGUGAAAGCAGGGGAUCUUCGGACCUUGCGCGAUUGAAUGAGCCGAUGUCGGAUUAGCUAGUUGGCGGGGUAAAGGCCCACCAAGGCGACGAUCCGUAGCUGGUCUGAGAGGAUGGUCAGCCACACUGGAACUGAGACACGGUCCAGACUCCUACGGGAGGCAGCAGUGGGGAAUAUUGGACAAUGGGCGCAAGCCUGAUCCAGCCAUACCGCGUGGGUGAAGAAGGCCUUCGGGUUGUAAAGCCCCUUUGUUGGGAAAGAAAAGCAGCAGGUUAAUACCCCGCUGUUCUGACGGUACCCAAAGAAUAAGCACCGGCUAACUUCGUG
rnacentral:rRNA from 1 species